CGCCAUGGUGAGGAAGACAAUCGACUCUGCGAACGAGAACUGGUCCGGGCUGACAUAGGAGAAGCCACCCGCGAACAGUCCGCCGCCGAUUCCGCCAAGCAGUGCGGAGAGCGCAAACGCCGCCACCUUGGUGNNNNNNNNNNNUGCCCGCGACGCCAGCAGCAAGUUCAUUGUCACGUACCGCGCGCAUGGCGCGGCCGAUCCGUGUGUCCGGUAGAUGCCAAACGAUAUAGCCGAUCACUGCGAGCGCCGCGACGCAGAACGCCAGAAACGACUGCUGCGACUGGAAC
rnacentral:misc_RNA from 1 species